rnacentral:rRNA from 1 species
AACGCGAAGAACCUUACCAAGUCUUGACAUCCCCCUGACCGUUCCGUAAUGGGAACCUCUCUUCGGAGCAGGGGAGACAGGUGGUGCAUGGUUGUCGUCAGCUCGUGUCGUGAGAUGUUGGGUUAAGUCCCGCAACGAGCGCAACCCUUAUCCUUAGUAGCCAGCAGGUAAAGCUGGGCACUCUAGGGGGACUGCCAGGGAGAACCUGGAGGAAGGUGGGGAUGACGUCAAAUCAUCAUGCCCCUUAUGACUUGGGCUACACAUGUGCUACAAUGGCGUAAACAAAGGGAAGCAGCCCUGUGAAGGUGAGCAAAUCCCAAAAAUAACGUCUCAGUUCGGAUUGUAGUCUGCAACUCGACUACAUGAAGCUGGAAUCGCUAGUAAUCGCGGAUCAGAAUGCCGCGGUGAAUACGUUCCCGGGUCUUGUACACACCG